rnacentral:ncRNA from 1 species
UUAAAUACAAUGAAAAGAAGUAGUAAAUUAAUUGAUGCUUUACAGAGAGAGGGAUUAGGUGAGAGCCCUUACGAUAGAUUAAUUGAAGCAGUCUUGGAGUAUCAACUUUGAAAUUAAGUAGGAGUUGACGGUGGUUCCGUUAUAACUUAAGGUUUUCCGAAGAUACUGUGAUUUUUACAGUAAUUAGGGUGGUACCGCGAGAUAUAUCCUCGCCCCUAUA